rnacentral:rRNA from 1 species
GACCGAGGCGAAAGGGAUCGAACAUCAGUAGAGAAGUCAGAGAUGCUCAGUGGCGAGAAAAGCUGUGUGUAUAAUUGAGGUGCCCGUACCGCAAACCGACACAGGUAGAUGAGGAGAGAAUCCUAAGGCCAACGGGAGAAGGGUUGUUAAGGAACUCGGCAAAUUGACCCCGUAACUUCGGGAUAAGGGGAGCCGGCCACGGCCGGCCGCAGUGAAUAGGCCCAAGCAACUGUUUACCAAAAACACAGGUCUCUGCUAAAUCGAAAGAUGACGUAUAGGGGCUGACGCCUGCCCGGUGCCGGAAGGUUAAGAGGAGAGCUUAGCGCAAGCGAAGGUUUGAAUUGAAGCCCCGGUAAACGGCGGCCGUAACGAUAACGGUCCUAAGGUAGCGAAAUUCCUUGUCAGGUAAGUUCUGACCCGCACGAAUGGCGUAAUGAUUUGGGCACUGUCUCAACAACCCGCCCGGCGAAAUUGUAGUACUGGUGAAGAUGCCAGUUACCCGCAACUAGACGGAAAGACCCCAUGGAGCUUUACUGUAGCCUAAUACUGAAGAUCGGUAAUGCAUGUACAGGAUAGGUGGGAGCCUGAGAAACUUGGCCGUCAGGUCGAGCGGAGGCGUCCUUGGAAUACCACCCUUGUAUUGCUGGUUUUCUAACCUGCGGCCAUGAAUCUGGUCGGGGGACACUGUUAGGUGGGCAGUUUGACUGGGGCGGUCGCCUCCAAAAGAGUAACGGAGGCGCUCAAAGGUUGGCUCAGCACGGACGGAAAUCGUGCAUAGAGUGCAAACGCAUAAGCCAACUUGACUGCGAGACCGACGGGUCGAGCAGGUACGAAAGUAGGAGUUAGUGAUCCGGUGGUAUGUGAGUGGAAAUGCCAUCGCUCAACGGAUAAAAGCUACCCUGGGAUAACAGGCUGAUCUCCCCCAAGCGUCCUCAGCGACGGGGAGGUUUGGCACCUCGAUGUCGGCUCGUCACAUCCUGGGGCUGAAUUCGGUCCCAAGGGUUCGGCUGUUCGCCGACUAAAGUGACACGCGAGCUGGGUUCAGAACGUCGUGAGACAGUUCGGUCCCUAUCUGUUGCGGGCGCAGGAGAUUUGAAGGGAGCUGUCCUUAGUACGAGAGGACCGGGAUGGACAGACCUCUGGUGCACCAGUUGUCGUGCCAACGGCACAGCUGGGUAGCUACGUCUGGAAGAGAUAAACGCUGAAGGCAUCUAAGCGUGAAACUCCCCCUAAGAUAAGAUCUCCCAUCCAUUAGGAGUAAGGGUCGAAGAAGACUACUUCGUUGAUAGGCCAGCGGUGUAAGCACAGUGAUGUGUUCAGCCUACUGGUACUAAUAACCCGAGGGCUUGACC